ACUAAGUCUGCUACUUCCAUAUCAGCUACAUGGGAUUUGUCCAGCUACAUUAAAAUGCAGUACACACAGGUGGAGGAGAGGAGAACACACACAGGACACACACUGACCAGCAGCUUCCAGCAGACGCUGCAGUCUGAGACAGGAGGGGUUGAGGGGGUCUGGGGGAGAUCAGUACAAGGACCUGAAACAAGUGUGAAAGUGGAACUUAAGAGCCUAAUAUUUGUUGAAAAAGUAAUCUUAUUAAAUAUUAUACAUCCAUAUUUAACCAUACACAUUAUUUUGCUACUUGUCAAAGCAUUUGUAGGCCAGGAUGAGUGAUCUUACCAAGGAGAGAGAGUCGAGUGGUUCUUUUCCCGUAAUGAUAAAUAACUUCAGAGUGUAAAACUCCCUUUUCGUCUUUGGUGAUGUUUUUCUCAUACACAGCGCAGUAGUACAGACCCACAUCUGAAUCAGAGACGUUCUUCACCAACAGAUCAUGAGUUUUGCUGGAGGGAUUCCACACAGCAGAGUAACGUGGAUCAGCACCACGUAUCAAAUCUAGAGUUGAUAUCAUGAGAGGAGGUCGAUGCUCACAUGAGGAGUUUCUAAACCAAACUAUAUUAAAUCCACUCUUCCAAACACAGUCGCUGUAGAGAGUCACGUCGUCUCCUUGUCUGACCCUCAUCUCCACUUCUGCUCCAGAGAUCCUGGAGAACAAAGCACCUACAACACACCAGUGAAAGAACAAUGAGCUCUCAUAACUUUAC
ensembl:lncRNA